GGGGAAGCUGCUUCUUGUUAAGUAAUUUCAAGUCCUCAAGUCGCAAUGGUGCAGAGAUAUUUAUUAGAGGCACCACGGCAGUAGAAAUUACAUCUGGCCUUUACUGGUACUUAAAAUAUUGGUGUGGUGCUCAUGUUUCCUGGGACAAGACUGGUGGAGUUCAAUUAGCUUCGAUUCCUAAACCAGGAUCUCUGCCGCUUUUAAAGGGUAACGGAGUUGUGGUUAAGCGGCCAGUGCCAUGGAACUAUUACCAAAA
rnacentral:misc_RNA from 1 species